UUACCCGAAAGCUCGUUGUUGGUUUUUAUGUGAUCUAAUUUUACAAUAAUUAUUACGUUAACAAUUCCGAAAACGUGUAACAAUUUAUCUCGGUUGGAACUCUAAAAUUAUAGAUUUAGUGCAAACAAUUAAUCUGUUAAGUAUGAAAAAGACAAUAGUUUUAUUAUCAAGUGAAAUGGUGACAUUCAUAGACAAAGCCAAUGAAAUUUUUUGUGUAAUAUACCUAAAAUAUCCUUUUUGUGAUUGAAAAUUAACAGUGACAAUUAUACUUUGCCCUAUGCUGGAAGGAUAUUAACUGGAUGCUGCCACAACGGAAUGAAGAUUACAGAAACCCUGGACAUCAUAUUAUGUGAUUGGGCAUCGAUUGUUGUAGGUUUCAAUCUACUCCAGCAUGAUGUAGCAGCGCCUUUUUUAUCCAUUGGAAAGGGACAAUUAGGGAACAUUACACAAUCUCAGUUGUUGGACAAUGAGUCUCUAUAAGACAUCAGAAAGCACCACAGUUCUUUCUAUCCUUUGGGAAUAGGCGUAACCAGAAUAAAAAAGUUCUAGUGUCCCACCGCAAAAGAAGAUGAUCCAUUUCCUAAUAGAAAACUUCAAGAUUACCAGGACAUUACCAGGAUUACGAGGACAUCAGACUCAGCAGGACUAUUAGGGCAUCGAGAGGGGUGAGAUAUAGUCCAUUCCAGUGAAUCCCAUAUCAACCAAGGCAUAAGUAACAUUAA